rnacentral:tRNA from 4 species
AAGAAAUUAGGUUCAAUCUUCAAGCC